GCGUCGCCCUGGGGGAGCCUUGCAUAGGCUGAGACGGCUCUGCCGGACCCCUUGAACCUGAACCGGGUAAUGCCGGCGGAGGAAAGCGGCCUCGUUCCCAG
rnacentral:ncRNA from 2 species